AGUGAACGCUGGCGGCAGGACUAACACAUGCAAGUCGAACGAGUGGCGGACGGGUGAGGAAUACAUCGGAAUCUACUCUGUCGUGGGGGAUAACGUCGGGAAACUUACGCUAAUACAGCAUACGAUUGAAUGAGCCGACGUCGGAUUAGCUGGUUGGCGGGGUAAAGGCUCACCAAGGAGACGAUCCGUAGCUGGUCUGAGAGGAUGACAAGCCACACUGGAACGGAGGCGCGGCCCCGACGCCUACGGGAGGCAGCAGUGGGGAAUAUUGGACAAUGGGCGCAAGCCUGAUCCAGCCAUACCGCGUGUGUGAAGAAGGCCUUCGGGUUGUAAAGCCCUUUUGUUGGGAAAGCGAUACCCGAAGAAUAAGCACCGGCUAACUUCGUGCCAGCAGCCGCGGUAAUUC
rnacentral:rRNA from 1 species